rnacentral:rRNA from 1 species
GACGAACGCUGGCGGCGUGCCUAAUACAUGCAAGUAGAACGCUGAAGGAGGAGCUUGCUUCUCUGGAUGAGUUGCGAACGGGUGAGUAACGCGUAGGUAACCUGCCUGGUAGCGGGGGAUAACUAUUGGAAACGAUAGCUAAUACCGCAUAAGAGUAGAUGUUGCAUGACAUUUGCUUAAAAGGUGCAAUUGCAUCACUACCAGAUGGACCUGCGUUGUAUUAGCUAGUUGGUGGGGUAACGGCUCACCAAGGCGACGAUACAUAGCCGACCUGAGAGGGUGAUCGGCCACACUGGGACUGAGACACGGCCCAGACUCCUACGGGAGGCAGCAGUAGGGAAUCUUCGGCAAUGGACGGAAGGCUGACCGAGUAACGCCGCGUGAGUGAAGAAGGUUUUCGGAUCGUAAAGCUCUGUUGUAAGAGAAGAACGAGUGUGAGAGUGGAAAGUUCACACUGUGACGGUAUCUUACCAGAAAGGGACGGCUAACUACGUG